rnacentral:rRNA from 1 species
GACGAACGCUGGCGGCGUGCUUAACACAUGCAAGUCGAACGGAAAGGCCCUGCUUUUGUGGGGUGCUCGAGUGGCGAACGGGUGAGUAACACGUGAGUAACCUGCCCUUGACUUUGGGAUAACUUCAGGAAACUGGGGCUAAUACCGGAUAGGUGCUCCUGCUGCAUGGUGGGGGUUGGAAAGUUUCGGCGGUUGGGGAUGGACUCGCGGCUUAUCAGCUUGUUGGUGGGGUAGUGGCUUACCAAGGCUUUGACGGGUAGCCGGCCUGAGAGGGUGACCGGCCACAUUGGGCCUGAGAUACGGCCCAGACUCCUACGGGAGGCAGCAGUGGGGAAUAUUGCACAAUGGGCGGAAGCCUGAUGCAGCAACGCCGCGUGCGGGAUGACGGCCUUCGGGUUGUAAACCGCUUUCGCCUGUGACGAAGCGUGAGUGACGGUAAUGGGUAAAGAAGCACCGGCUAACUACGUG